GCUCCCCUUUCGGGGGGGUCGCGGCGCGGGCGCGUUGGGAUCCCCCCUCGUAGUAGGUCAGCGCAGGAGUGACGCAUCAGGGCAGCCGGCCGCGGAGGUGGUUUUCCGUGGUCAAGCGUUCGAGCCCGUCCCGCAGGCAAAUCCGCGGGGCGUCGGGGCGAGGCGUGAUGAUGGGGGCCUUACGGCCCGAAUCCGGUGAUCCGUGGUGCCGAGAAAAGCUUCGGCGUCAGGCGCGUUGCCGCCCGUACCCCAAACCGACACUGGUGGUCAGGUAGAGAAUACCAAAGCGAUCGAGCGAAUCCUGGUCAAGGAACUCGGCAAAUUGCUCCCGUGCCUUCGGCAUAAGGGAGACCCCCUGCGGUGAUGAGCGGCGGGGGGUGGCACAGGCCAGGGGGUAGCGACUGUUUACCAAAAACACAGGAGCGUGCGAAGGCGCAAGCCGCUGUAUACGCUCUGACGCCUGCCCGGUGCCGGAAGGUUAAGAGGAUCCGUCAGCUUUCUGCGAAGCGGUGAAUUCAAGCCCCGGUAAACGGCGGUGGUAACUAUAACCAUCCUAAGGUAGCGAAAUUCCUUGUCGGGUAAGUUCCGACCUGCACGAAUGGCGUAACGACUUCCCCACUGUCUCGACCAGGAGCUCGGCGAAAUUGCAGUACGAGUAAAGAUGCUCGUUAAGCGCAGAAGGACGAAAAGACCCCGGGACCUUUACUAUACCUUGGUAUUGGCAUUAGGCGCGGAUUGUGUAGCAUAGGCGGGAGGCUUCGAGGCGGGUGCGCCAGCAUCCGCGGAGCCGCAAGGUGAAAUACCGCUCUGUUCUCGUUUGACGUCUCACCUCGAACAGUCAUCCUGUUCAGGGACAGUGCCUGGCGGGUAGUUUAACUGGGGCGGUUGCCUCCCAAAGAGUAACGGAGGCGCUCAAAGGUCCGCUCGGCCCGGUUGGCAAUCGGGUGUCGAGUGUAAUCGCACAAGCGGGCUUGACUGCGAGAUCGACGGAUCGAGCAGGGACGAAAGUCGGAGAUAGUGAUCCGGUGCCGGCGCACGGGCGCGGCAUCGCUCAACGGAUAAAAGGUACCCCGGGGAUAACAGGCUGAUCAUUCCCAAGAGUCCAUAUCGACGGGAUGGUUUGGCACCUCGAUGUCGGCUCGUCGCAUCCUGGGGCUGGAGAAGGUCCCAA
rnacentral:rRNA from 1 species